rnacentral:rRNA from 5 species
UUUGACCUCGGAUCAGGUAGGGAUACCCGCUGAACUUAAGCAUAUCAAUAAGCGGAGG